UGGCGGACGGGUGAGUAAUGUCUGGGAAACUGCCUGAUGGAGGGGGAUAACUACUGGAAACGGUAGCUAAUACCGCAUAACGUCGCAAGACCAAAGAGGGGGACCUUGGGCCUCUUGCCAUCGGAUGUGCCCAGAUGGGAUUAGCUAGUAGGUGGGGUAAAGGCUCACCUAGGCGACGAUCCCUAGCUGGUCUGAGAGGAUGACCAGCCACACUGGACUGAGACACGGUCCAG
rnacentral:rRNA from 1 species